UACGAGGGGUGCAAACGUUAUUCGGAAUUACUGGGUGUAAAGGGUGUGUAGACGGCUAUUUAAGUCAAUUGUUAAAUUCCCCAGCUUAACUGGGGGUCAGCGGUUGAAACUAGAUGGCUAGAGGAUGGAAGAGAGAAGUGGAAUUCUCGGAGUAGCGGUAAAAUGCGUAGAUCUCGAGAGGAACACCGAUGGCGAAGGCAGCUUCUUGGUCCAUUUCUGACGUUGAGACACGAAAGCGUGGGGAGCAAACAGG
rnacentral:rRNA from 1 species